rnacentral:tRNA from 1 species
GGGGAUAUAGUUUAAUGGUAAAACAGUAACUUUGCACGUUAUUAAUUCGGAUUCAAGUUCUGAUAUCUCCA